rnacentral:rRNA from 1 species
AUUGAACGCUGGCGGCAGGCCUAACACAUGCAAGUCGAGCGGAGCGGCGGACGGGUGAGUAAUGCCUAGGAAUCUGCCUGGUAGUGGGGGAUAACGUCCGGAAACGGGCGCUAAUACCGAAUACUAUCAGAUGAGCCUAGGUCGGAUUAGCUAGUUGGUGGGGUAAAGGCCUACCAGGGACACGAUCCGUAACUGGUCUGAGAGGACGAUCAGUCAACUUGGAACUGAGACCCGGUCCGGACUCCUACGGGAGGCAGCGUUGGGAAAUAUUGGACAAUGGGGGAAAGCCUGAUCCGGCCAUGCCGCGUGUGGGAAGAGGGUCUUCGGAUUUUAAAGCACUUUAAGUUGGGAGGCGUUACCAACAGAAUAAGCACCGGCUAACUUCGUGCCAGCAGCCGCGGUAAUAC